AACGAACGCUGGCGGCAUGCCUAACACAUGCAAGUCGAACGGGCUCUUCGGAGCUAGUGGCGCACGGGUGCGUAACGCGUGGGAACCUGCCCUUAGGUUCGGAAUAACUCCUCGAAAGGGGUGCUAAUACCGGAUAAUGUCUUCGGACCAAAGAUUUAUCGCCUUUGGAUGGGCCCGCGUAGGAUUAGGUAGUUGGUGGGGUAAAGGCCUACCAAGCCGACGAUCCUUAGCUGGUCUUAGAGGAUGAUCAGCCACACUGGGACUGAGACACGGCCCAGACUCCUACGGGAGGCAGCAGUGGGAAAUAUUGGACAAUGGGCGCAAGCCUGAUCCAGCAAUGCCGCGUGAGUGAUGAAGGCCUUAGGGUUGUAAAGCUCUUUUACCCGGGAUGAUAAUGGCAGUACCGGGAGAAUAAGCCCCGGCUAACUCCGUGCCAGCAGCCGCCGCCG
rnacentral:rRNA from 1 species